UUCAUUUUCUAUGUGAAUUUCUUUCUUGCAGAAUACAUCUGAAGCUUAAUUUUCAUAUUUUUGUCCUUUUCAUCCCAUGCUUGCCAAAUGAAUUAGUUGUUUUUUUUAUGUAGAGGAUUUUUUAUAGGAACAUCAUAGUAGGAGCCACUUCUUCUGCUUUAACAUCACAAGAAAAAUAUCUAAAGUAUUUUGCAUGCCCUAUACUAAACAACCAUUGAGGCCAAUUCAGUGGCAAGAUUUUUAAGCACUUACUGUGUGAUAUAACACCACAUUUCUCUGCCUUUUCUCUUUUGGUACAAUCUGGCAGUUCAUGUGAUUUGUUUGUCUUCCUUCCAUGAUUCUCCAAAGUCUUGAAGCUAGCGGUUAGACAUUAAGGAAAACUAGAGAUGCCAUAGAGAACGGAAGAGAAUUCGCUGUUAGUUGAUUGAUUAUAAAUAGAGGUAUGUUACAGUCAUAUCCAUGGAAGUAGGGAUGCAUGUAUUUUUCUGUUGGUUUCAGAAAAUCAUUUUGAUUUUGGGCCAUUUAAUUUUCUCGAUGUUUGAUUUAAAAAGUUAUGCCAUUGUGACUCUAUGUUGAUGCUUACCCCCAUCUAUAUUACUAUUUUGUACUUAUGCGACAAAUUAGGCUUCAUCUUAUUCAACUUAAUUAUUUAUUUCAUAUCCCAGCUUAGCAAUUAUAGUUAUCUAUUGUUUUAUUUGCAGCCAUUGAGCUGAGAAAUUAUUAGACAUCUAUAAUAUUAUUUGUUCAUUGGGUUACUAUCUAAGUAUGAUGUCAGUGCGAUGUUGCUUCAGCAUUGUAUACUCUAAUGAUAUGUUUUAUGAAGUAAUCAACUAUGCCUGAUCAGUUGAGGAAUCUAUGGUUUCUUAUGUGGCUUUGUUUGAUAAUAUAAUGUUCGAUGCAUUUCUGAUAGAUUAACUUCUCAAUGUGAAUUCCAAAAUAAGGUUCAGAUUUACAAUGAUUGCUACUUAAAAGGAAACUUGUAGUCAUUUACGUUGUGUUUUCUUAGCGGUCUCUAGAACCUUAAAAUUGCAUUGCCUAUUUAGCUUUCAACAGCAAUAGCAUCAGCCAGAAACUUAGGUCCACCUCUCUGUCAUCUAUGCAUGUAUACUUGCUAGAUUAGGUUCGGACGGUUAAGGCCAAAUAAGGUUCAGAUUUUUAGUCAGUGCUUGCUACUUCAAAGUAAACUUGGUACUCGCUUACAUUGUGUUUUCUUAGCACUGUUUAUAACCUUAAAACUGCGUUGCCAUUGUUAUUUAGCUUUCGACAGCAACAACGUCGUGUUUGUGCCCACGUAGUUCGUGUGGUCUGAUGCAACCACUUUGAUCACUUUGUACUCUGCCUCUUCAUCUUUGACACUAUGCAGGGAGCUGAUGAGAUGUCGGUUCACGUUUGGGUUGUCACGCAGCUGUUGCUGGAGUGUUCGUCCUAUUUUUUUUAUCUAUGAUAUUUCCAGAGGGGCUGAUAGUGAUGCUCGAGUGGUCUUCAAACUGGGGUUUCAGGAGCUGUUCAACAAGCAAUGCUGAGUUUCUGAUCAGCAGAAAUAGCACUAGCGGUGUAUCAGUAUCACAGGCUGCAGAUAGCAGCUGACAAGAUGUCUAUUGUUGAGCUGGAGUAUUAUGAAAAUAUGAAUUGUGUUUUUUCUGGUCUUCGGUGGCAAUUCAUGUUAUAGGAUGGUGAAAUUAAUCCUGUAAAUUUUUGUGACCUGAUGCUAUAAUAUUUAAAUUCAGUUAUGCUAUAUAAUUUAUCACUGUAA